AUUGAACGCUGGCGGCAUGCCUUACACAUGCAAGUCGAACGGUAACAGGUCUUCGGAUGCUGACGAGUGGCGAACGGGUGAGUAAUACAUCGGAACGUGCCUAGUAGUGGGGGAUAACUACUCGAAAGAGUGGCUAAUACCGCAUGAGAUCUACGGAUGAGAGCAGGGGAUCGCAAGACCUUGUGCUACUAGAGCGGCCGAUGGCAGAUUAGGUAGUUGGUGGGAUAAAAGCUUACCAAGCCGACGAUCUGUAGCUGGUCUGAGAGGACGAUCAGCCACACUGGGACUGAGACACGGCCCAGACUCCUACGGGAGGCAGCAGUGGGGAAUUUUGGACAAUGGGCGCAAGCCUGAUCCAGCAAUGCCGCGUGCAGGAUGAAGGCCUUCGGGUUGUAAACUGCUUUUGUACGGAACGGAAAGCCCUGGGUUAAUACCCUGGGGUCAUGACGGUACCGUAAGAAUAAGCACCGGCUAACUACGUGCCAGCCGCCGCUGUAACAC
rnacentral:rRNA from 1 species